rnacentral:rRNA from 1 species
AAAGUACUCUGGAAAGAGAGUUCACAAGUGCGUGAAACUGAACACCGCAAAGCGAAUAACUGUGCAUUCUACAAUGCGGCUAGCUGUCUUCGACGCGUGGCGCUGCCGGCCCAGGGAUUGGCGGUGCGCGCUCGCUCCCGCCCUUCCUGUCACUGUGUGUGUGUGGCUGACGACGAUUGUGAAAGAUCGAUUGCUCCACGCGGAGUUGUAUUUGCCGCCGCAUCAUUGGCUGUCUGGCAGGCGAGCAAGCUAGAUGGCGUCAGGAGGCGAGGCGUGUGUGCCCUUUGCUCCGCCCUCUACGUUAAUGGCGUCGCUGAACGUUGGCGUCCGCUGCUCUGUUUCAACGGGCGCUGCUCAUCGUGCUUGCCUGCUAUUGCGGGUGCCGUUAUUGCAAGCCAGGAGUCGGUGGGUAGUGGUGUGUCUGCGGGUGCUGCCGCUGUUCACGUGUCAUGAAUUUGGCGCUGCGUGUGGUGCCAGUGCGGAUUGCGCCGCUGCUUCAGUCUGGCGGCUUGCGGCCAAGACAGCUCAUGUGUGCUCAGUAUUCGAACCGUCUUGAAACACGGACUAAGGAGUUCAACUUGAACGCGAGUCGUUUUCAAUCGAGAAUUUUGAAGGCGAAGUGAAAUCGAUCCUAUGUAAGAAAGGAGUGUCAACCGGACCACCGGCCGCUGGGGGAUGCUGACGCGCCUCCUGCGCCGUGGCCAAAGGCAAACGUUAUGGGUAUCACGACCGAUACAGUUGUUGACUGCACGUGAGCGUUCAAGAUGAGACCCGAAAGAUGGUGAACUAUGCCUGAGUAGGACGAAGCCAGGAGAAAUCCUGGUGGAAGUCCGCAGCGGUUUUGACGUGCAAAUCAAUCGUAAGACUUGGGUAUAGGGGCGAAAGACUAAUCGAACCGUCUAGUUGCUGGUUCCCUCCGAAGUUUCCCUCAGGAAAGCUGGCGUGUUCUAGUUUUACCCGGUAAAGCUAAUGACUGGAGGGAUCAGAGUUGUAAUAUCUUUGACCUACUUUCAAACUUAAAACGGAUAAGAUACGGUCCGCUGCUUCAACGAGCGACCGUUGCAAAUUUCACGCGCCAAGUGGGCCAUUUUUGGUAAGCAAAUCGGGCGCUGUGGGAUGAACUGAACGGCGAGCUAUGGCGCCCGACACACUUCUCAAAAGACACCAUGAAAGGUGUUAGUUGAUAAUGACAGCAGGACGGUGGCCAUGGAAGUCGGUAUCCGCUAAGGAGUGUGUAACGACUCACCUGCCGAAUCAACUAGCCCUGAAAAAGGAUGGCGCUAUAGACGUGGGCCUAUGCUCGGCCGUCGAGGUGUUCUGCUGUACGCGUUGAGGUGUGUGUCGUCGCUCUUGGGCGGCGGCGCGCGCGCGCGCGCGCUAUGCAUUGAAGGUGAAAGGCUCUCGAUGAGUAGGAGGGCGAAGGCGUUGACUCAGAAGCGUGCGGUGUGAACCGGCGUGGAGUUGGCGGUCUUGCAGAUCUUAGUGGCAGUAGCGAGUAUUCAAGAUAAACGUUUGAAGACUGAAGUGGAGAAGGGUUCCGUGUGAACCUCGUUUGAACGUGGCUCACCCGAUCCUAAGAGUGUGCGAGAUUUUGUGAAAUAGUGUGGGACGUCUCGUGCGUCCGCGCGAUCGAAAGGGAAUCGGGCUAAGCUUCCCGAGCCAGGAGACGGAUUAUGAUGGCUUUUUUACGAAAAAAAGUGACAGAAGCGGUGACGCUCGCAAACCCAGAGAGUGCCAUGCGAUGCCCGGGGGAGAGUUCUCUCUUCUUUGUUAGGCAAGCUCACCCUGAAAGCGCAUUUUUCGGAGACAGGGUCUAACUGCCGUAUUGCGGAGUGACUUUUGCGCCGCACCGUGUGCAUUGUGUGGCCCGUGAAAAUCUGGGGGCGCAGUUAUUUGUCUUGUUCCUGAUCGUACCCAGUUCCGCAUCAGGUCUCCAAGGUCUAUAGCCUCUAGUUUAUGGGAUAAAGUAGGCAAGGGAAGUCGGCAAGUCAGAUCUGUACCCUUGGAAAAAGGAUUGGCUCUGAAGGCUGAGUUGAUCGGGGCUGUUGCCGAAAGGGGCGGAUUCGUCUGGGGGUUGGUCCGGGGCUUGCCUCGGAGGAGGUCGGCCUCAGAGCAGGCUCCCGCCUAUUUCGUCUUACGGACGGCUCCAGCUUGUCGGUGCAUGGCGCUAUCAACGGCGCGGUGUACGCAAAUCGGUCAACGGCGAACAGCCGCAUCAGAACUGGUACGGACAAGGGGAAUCCGACUGUCUAAUUAAAACAGAGCAUUGCGAUAGCCGUUACCGGUUUUGACGCAAUGUGAUUUCUGCCCAGUGCUCAGACUGUUAACGUGGCGAGAUCUAAAUAAGCGCGG